AAAAAGGGUGCUCGCUACUUCAAUAGCGCGUCGAUUCAAACUGUUUCGGCGGGGUAUGGCUAUCAAGACAUACCCAGUACAUAAUUUUUGUAAUUAGAGGCUGUUGGCUGCCACCUUGCACCGACGCCUCU